rnacentral:siRNA from 1 species
CCGAGCUGGUGGUGCGGCACGAG